CUUGACUCUAAGUUGCUAUAAAUAUCAGACAUUCUGUCAGCAGCUCAGGUUUCCUGAACCAAUAUCACUGGUCCCUCUGCUUUGAGCUGUGUCUGUUAGAGGCGGUGGCGUGGUAGAAAAAGCGAAGUGGAAAAUACAGGCAAGUGGUUUCAGUCUCUGAGCUCCACUUCUGAUCUGUGAAAGAAACCGGCCAUGUGCUGACCUCCGUCUGCGGUGAGGAUUCAGUGAGCUGUCAUGCUUCUGAGCUCUGCCGUGGCCGCGAGAACGCGCCUGGUUUAGCCGACUGGAGGAUGAGAGACGUGUGGAGAGCAAGUCCCUGCAGUGGUCCCUGGAGCCCAGCCUAAAUCACUCAAUGGCAGCCAAACUCUAGGUAUGUUAGUGAGUCCAGCCAGGAUCAGCAGAACCACCUAGCCAACUAUCCCAGAUGCGUGAGCAAUAAAUGCUGAUUACUGAAUACCGUUGAGGUUUUCUUGUUAUUUGUUUCACAGCGUUGUUGUGGCAAGAGAUACCUGAUAGCGUGAGUAUAUGGGAAAAGAGCAGGUCUUGGGAACUGGUUAGGCCUCAGUUUGAGUUCCAGCUGUGAUGUUUGGAGGGUGUUCCUUUUCGAGAUUAAAUUUCUUUCUCUUUAAGAUGAGGUAGUAAUUCUUCCCUCAUAGGGUGGCUAGAAAGAUUAAACACAAGGCAAAAGAAAGAAAACCUUUGGGACCCAGUAUAAAUUGUAGAUGAUGUCCAAAAGAUCAUGGCUUCUCCCAGCAAACCUUCAGAACGAACAACUAUGGGACCCAGAUCAAGGUCUGUCCAAUGUGAGGCUGAUACCCACCACAUCAACUCAAAGACAAUAAUGAAGACCGGAAGGGACUGAUUCUAUCCUUACACUGAGAUGCAGCUUCCUUGAAUCUGCCAUUGUCAUGUAUUGAGCAAGAUGGGCCUUAAAAAGAUGAUUGCUUAAAUUGAAGGGGCUGAAGAAGAAAAGCAAAGUCCAAGAUUUUCCUCUGAGCCCGUGGUUUAGCCAAACAGAUGGCAGUGAACUGGGGGAGGGCUGUUGCUUUUGCCCUGGGUGUGGGUUUGGUUCAGAUCAAGGAACUCAAGGCACCAACGGGGACAGUGCCUGGCCAGGUAACGUCUGCUCUGACUCUGUUGUUUGCCCUCCUGCAUGUGUGUGCAUUUUUAAUGACAGAUCAUUCAGGAAAUGUGAAUAUUUCUCUAGGGGGUUUUGCUUUGUCACUUGGCCUUGUUUUUUGGGUCCUUUCCCUUCCUUUGAAGCCAUUGUUUGACAUGAGAAACAUAUUCAGGUAAGCUUAUGGCUGAUUACCCCAAGGGGGAAGGAAAAAGAAAACCAACCCAGCUAAAAUACAGAGCAAUUAACUCAAUAAACUAAGAAGUUAUGAAAGGUAUGAGAUGCUUUUUGAAAAUUAAACAUAAAAUUCAUAUACAUUUAAGGAAGAGGUUUCUUCCCGAGGAAUUGAGAGCUUUCCUACAAAAUCCAGCAGCUUUCUGCCCCAGAUAGCUCACUCCUCUUUAGCUUUUCUGACGGUGGCAAUGGGGUGACAAGUUACAUGCACCUGUUUUUAACAGGUGACAACAGUUACAUGACUCUACUUCUAAAGCAUGGUGUGACCUGGGAUGAAUCACGUGGCAUUUCUGAGCUUCAGCGUCUCACCAGCAAAAUGACAUUUUGAUAAAAUUUCUUUACAAGAAAAUAAAUUUAUUGUUUUUUAAAGCAAUGAUUUAUCCUUUUUUAA